UAGCUCACCUCGACGAAGUCGAGAUGAGCUUAUGCUAUACCCCCGGCGUUGGCGUCGGUGUCGGCGUCCCAGGUUAAAGUUUUAGGAGCAAGUCCAUUCCCAAGUAACUAUAAGCCCUAUCUGAACCAAACUUGCAUGGAUGAUGCAUCUAGGGAUGUACACUACCAGACUUGCUUCGGAUGCUGGAUCUGACCUACAUUUUCUAGAUGAGUGACCAGGUUAAAGUUUUUGGAGCAGGUCCAUUCCCAAGGAAUUAUAAGCCCUACCCAGACCAAACUUGCAUGGAUGAUGCAUCUAGGAAUGUACACUACCAGACUUGCUUCGGAUGCUGGAUCUGACCUACAUUUUCCAGAUGAGUGACCAGGUUAAAGUUUUUGGAGCAGGUCUAUUCCCAAGGAACUAUAAGCCCUACCUGAACCAAACUUGCAUGGAUGAUGCAUCUAGGGAUGUACACUACCAGACUUGCUUUGGAUGCUGGAUCUGACCUACAUUGUCUAGAUGAGUGACCAGGUUAAAGUUUUUGGAGCAGGUCCAUUCCACAGGAACUAUAAGCCCUAUUUGGACCAAACUUGCAUGGAUGAUGCAUCUAGGGAUGGACACUACCAGACUUGCUUCCGAUGCUGGAUCUGACCUACAUUUUCAUUCCCAAGUAACUAUAAGCCCUACCUGAAGCAAACUUGCAUGGAUGAUGUAUCUAGGGAUGUACACUACCCGACUAGUUUCAGAUGCUGGAUCUGACCUACAUUUUCAUUCCCAAGUAACUAUGAGCUCUAUUUGGACCAAACUUGCAUGGAUGAUGUAUCUAGGGA